UACGUAGGGUGCAAGCGUUGUCCGGAAUUAUUGGGCGUAAAGAGCUCGUAGGCGGUUUGUUGCGUCGGCUGUGAAAUCCCGAGGCUCAACCUCGGGUCUGCAGUCGAUACGAGCAAACUAGAGUGUUGCAGGGGAGACUGGAAUUCCUGGUGUAGCGGUGAAAUGCGCAGAUAUCAGGAGGAACACCGGUGGCGAAGGCGGGUCUCUGGGCGACAACUGACGCUGAGGAGCGAAAGCGUGGGGAGCGAACAGG
rnacentral:rRNA from 1 species